rnacentral:lncRNA from 1 species
CAGUUGGCGGAAAGGACAGGAAGGCCCACAGGGUUUCUCUGUGUAGCUUUGGAGCCUAUCCUGGAACUUGCUCUGGAGACCAGACUGGCCUGGAACUCACAGAGAUCCGCCUGCCUCUCCCUCCCAAGUGCUGGGAUUAAAGACUUCAAGUACUAUGCUGAAGAAGAAUGGAAGUGUGGGUGUUCUUGCCUUGUUGAGGUGUGAUGAGCAAGAGAUUCCCUCGCCUGAACCCGUGAAAUGUUGUAGCACUGGCUGCUACUACACGAAGCAUGGCCCUACAGGUAGCAAAAGAUCACCAUGUUGUAAACUACAUCCAUUCCCAGCAUUCAAGGAUUGAAGACAGCCAGAACCUGGAAGCAAACUAGAUGCCCCUUAACUGAAGAAUGGAUAAAGAAAAUGUGGUACGUUUGCACAAUGGAGUACUACUCAGUGGAAAAAAAAGAACAAUGACAACUUGAAAUUUGCAGUCAAGUGGAUGGAACUAGAAGAAACCAUCCUGAGUAAGGUAACCCAGUCACAAAAAGACAAACAUGAGACUUCAUUCAGUAGCUGAUGGAAGUAGAAGCAGACACCCACAGCUAAACACUGAAUUGAACUCCUAGAAUCCAGUUGCAGAGAGGACUGAUGAGCAAAGGGUUCAAGACCAGGCUGGUGAAACCCACAGAAACAGCUGACCUGAACAAGGGGGAGCUCAUGGACCCCAGACUGACAGCUGGGAAACUGGCAUAGGACUGAUCCAGACCCCAUGAACAUGGUGUCAUUGAGGAGACCUUAUAAAUCUAUGGGGCCUCUGGUAGUAGAUCAGUAUUUAUCCCUAGCAUAGGAUGGACUUUGGGAGCCCAUUCCACAUAGAGGGAUACUCUCAGCCUAGACACAGCGGGGAGGGCCAAGGCCCUAUUCCAAAGGAUAUGACAGAGUCUGAAGAUCCCCC